rnacentral:rRNA from 1 species
GACGAACGCUGGCGGCGUGCUUAACACAUGCAAGUCGAACGGAAAGGCCCUGCUUUUGUGGGGUGCUCGAGUGGCGAACGGGUGAGUAACACGUGAGUAACCUGCCCUUGACUUUGGGAUAACUUCAGGAAACUGGGGCUAAUACCGGAUAGGAGCUCCUGCUGCAUGGUGGGGGUUGGAAAGUUUCGGCGGUUGGGGAUGGACUCGCGGCUUAUCAGCUUGUUGGUGGGGUAGUGGCUUACCAAGGCUUUGACGGGUAGCCGGCCUGAGAGGGUGACCGGCCACAGUGGGACUGAGAUACGGCCCAGACUCCUACGGGGGGCAGCAGUGGGGAAUAUUGCACAAUGGGCGGAAGCCUGAUGCAGCAACGCCGCGUGCGGGAUGACGGCCUUCGGGUUGUAAACCGCUUUCGCCUGUGACGAAGCGUGAGUGACGGUAAUGGGUAAAGAAGCACCGGCUAACUCCGUG